GCGGAUAAGUCACCGGCUGGCAGUGUGGUUAGCUGGUUGUCAGAUGUGAGACAACGGCUAUCACCACUGCCGUCCUGGUGGUUCGUCCAUCCG
rnacentral:pre_miRNA from 1 species